CACGUAGGAGACGAGCGUUAUCCGGAUUCACUGGGCGUAAAGGGCAAGUAGGCGGUUGCUCAAGUUGGGCGUGACAAUCUCUGGCUUAACUAGGGGAGGACGUUCAAAACUAGGCAACUUGAGGGCAGGAGAGGAAAGCGGAAUUCCUAGUGUAGCGGUGGAAUGCUCAGAUACUAGGAGGAACACCGGUGGCGAAGGCGGCUUUCUGGUCUGCACCUGACGCUGAGAGGCGAAAGCUAGGGGAGCGAACGGGCUUAGAUACCCCGGUAGUCCUAGCUGUAAACGGUGGAUACUGGGUAUUGGGGGCUAACAUGCCUUCAGUGCCGAAGCCAACGCGUUAAGUAUCCCGCCUGGGGACUACGGCCGCAAGGUUAAA
rnacentral:rRNA from 1 species